rnacentral:rRNA from 1 species
UACAGAGGGUGCAAGCGUUAAUCGGAUUUAUUGGGCGUAAAGCGCGUGUAGGCGGCUUGGCAAGUCAGAUGUGAAAGCCCUCGGCUUAACCGAGGAAGUGCGUCUGAAACUGCCGAGCUUGAGUGUCGGAGAGGAUGGCGGAAUUCCGCAAGUAGAGGUGAAAUUCGUAGAUAUGCGGAGGAACACCGGUGGCGAAGGCGGCCAUCUGGACGACGACUGACGCUGAGACGCGAAAGCGUGGGGAGCAAACAGG